GAAAGACCCCGUGCACCUUUACUAUAGCUUUACACUGGCGUUAGUGACGAUAUGUGUAGGAUAGGUGGUAGGCUUUGAAACUGUGGCGCCAGCUGCAGUGGAGCCGACCUUGAAAUACCACCCUUGUCCUUAUUGACGUCUAACCGCGACCCGUUAUCCGGGUCCGGGACCGUGUAUGGUGGGUAGUUUGACUGGGGCGGUCGC
rnacentral:rRNA from 1 species